UCCUCUGUACCCAUGAAGGCCCAUCCUCACACCAGAUCCUGGGAACAUGAUGUUAAGACUGGUCUCUACUUCAGACAUCUAGUCCAGCUGGGAAUAACCAUGAAUUAAUAUGGUCAAUUUUAGUUGAAACAGCAAGGCCAGAUCCAUCGUCCAAGACCCUGUUGUCACAAAGAAUGAUAGAGAUGUAUUGGGUCUUUAAGAGCCUCCAAAAGCAUUCAGUUUCUUAACUGUUUCCGUGUCCCCUUUUUGGUGUAAUUUACAUCAGUGAAAUGCACAGAUUUUUAAGUAAACUAGUCUUUGAAUUUUAUCAAAAACCCACAGAACUUUCCCUUCACCCAGGAAGUUUUCCUGUGCCCUUUCCCACGAAAUCCACCUUCUCCUGGAAGCUAGCACUGCUCUGAUUUCUUUUCUGGAUAAAACCAAGCCCUACAGGUUGGGUGUCCUACCCUGAAGCUGAAUCUACCAGUCCAGAAUUUACCAGUCCAGAAUUUUUUUUUCCAGCUUCCAAAGGCCAUCACCAUUCCUUGUUUCAUGACCCUCUUCCUCCAUCAUCAAAACCAGCAAUGGAACAUCUCAUUGGUCCUGCUUCCACCAUUACAUCCUCUUCUGGCUCCUCUUCCACUUUUAAGGACCUAUGUGAUAGGGUUUCCCAGGUGGUAAAGAACCUGCCUGCCAAUUCAGGAGACAUAAGAGAGGCAGGUUCAAUCCCUGGAUUGAGAAGACUCCCUGGAGGAAGGCAUGGAAACCCACUCCAGUAUUCUUGCCUGGAGAAUCCCAUGGACAGAGAAGCCUGGUGGACUAUGGUCCAUAGGGUUGCAAAGAAUUGGACGCAACUUAGCAUGCCCAUGUGUGCUGGUGGGGAGCACAGCUGAGGCACCCAGGGAAAAAGCA
ensembl:lncRNA